AUUUGCUGCUCUGCUGGACCCUGAGUCUGGCGGCGGGCGGCCUCCUCUCCGCUCCCCGCCCGCCAUCCCCCAACUCCCGAUCUCUCUGCUGCGUCUGGCCUCAGGCUGAGACCCCAACGAAUCAUUCCCCGCAUGGGAACAUUUUAUGAUAUAACUGAAUUCAGUUUUAUGUAUAACUGAAUUACGGAUAUGAGAAUCUCAAAUGAGGACGAAUGGUUUUUACGCACAAAACAUGAGACACAAAUCUGUAAGAAAUAUAAAGUCGUGACCACGUCCUUUCAGAACUUUAACCUGUUUGCUGAAGUACGUCAGUAACAAUGGCAGGGAAAGGGUAUCUUAAAUUUCACCACAGCCUCAAAGAGGCCAUUUCGUGGAUCCGCUGAGGCUUGGAGUCGGCCUUCUGACCACGAGUCCUGCGGCUAUGAAAGAGGAAGCCGCGGUUCAGGGCGUCCUCGCGAGUCGUGCAGCCCGCCCUGCUCCAGCUGGGGACACCGGUGGUCACGGCGCUUUCCAGCUGCAGAUCCAGGCGGCAGCCCAAGAUUUGGUCCAGCCGCCAAGGGGUGGCUCGAGUGACUGACGGGCCUUGAACGCUCCCAGGACCCACAUCUGGAGAGGGAGGUGGGGGUGGGGUGCUGAAGUCAUUCUUGGGGCCCCUGGGGGCGGGCAUGGACCUGGGUAAGGCCAGAGAAAUUGACACCUCGUGACAUCCCUGGAAGAGAAGUACGUUCAGUGUCACUCCAGAGCUGAAACCGCCUUCUGGCUGGUCCCUCCUCACCUACAUACUUUUCUAAUUUGUCUGGAGCAGGCCGGGCAUCUGUAUUAUCUGGUUAUUUAAAUAUCUGGUUAUUUAAAAGCUCUCCAUUAAAUUCACAUACACGAAAAUAAAAAUUAAAAAAAAUUUUAAAAAAAAGAAACAAAAGCUCUCUAAUGACCAAGUCCUACACGAUAGUGAAUAAAUUUUUUUGUGUGGUCCCUAAAAUUGAGUUCAUGCCUUUUCUGAAGUAAUAGACGCCCAGAGAAGGGAUCGACUUACCCAUCAUGCCACAGAGAUUAAUUGGCCCCAGAAUUCUUUAGCAGACCGUGUAUAUGAACGUCCUUUGCAAUCAUAUAAAUUAACUGGGAAAACCUCAUUUAGUAUGUUACAUGCCUAGCGUUUUGUGCCUGAACACCUUACAAGAACCAGGGACUAUUGCCCCAAUAUUAUAUUUCAGGAAAGGAAGGCCCAGACAAAUGGUGUCACUGGUCCACUUUCACCCAGUUGGUAAAUGAAACCAGAAAUUAUAGCUGUACCACAGAAAGGUGAAAACGUUUCUUUUAUAAUUUCACAUACAAUCUUUAAUGGACCCAGUGUCCAACACAUUAAAGCAAGUGCUCAGGAGUGACAUCAAGAUGUAAAAAAUAGUCCUGUCCUCAGGGAGUUUAGGUCUUGGAGAAAAGAGACCCAAGGAGACACAAGACAAAGGGGAAAGAGAAGGAGCGCUGAAGACUGAGGACCCUGCCUGUGGACUGAAGUGAGGAUGGGGACACCCGAUGCCCGGAAUAUGACAGUUUGGAGGGGCCUGAAGGACUCUUCUAUUCUCUAUCAGAAAAACAGAAUUACUCUCCUAACCAGAAAAGGUAUUUCAAUUUAUAUUUUCCAUCACAGCACUUUUCUGGUGAUAAUUUAAUGUGUUUUAAAAAAUGUAUCACAGUGAUGGCCUGGUGUGAAAUAAAUAAUAAAAUUUUAAGAAUUAAAAAAUAUAAAAAUCUUUUAUAUAGACAUUAGGAGUUACAAGGAUAACUGUGAAUUAUAAUUAGUAAUUAAAUUGAAAUACUGAUUAUUUUCAUUUUUAUUUAAUUAUUUAAUAAAACCUAUUUAACAUUUAAUAUUUAUCAGUAAUUAAAUCUAAUUGUUAAUAUUUAUUAUUAUAAAUUAUUUUAGAAUUAAAAAUAAGUGUAGAAGCGAGGCAUGGUGGCUCAAGCCUGUAAUCCCAACACUUUGGGAGGCUAAGGUGGGAGGAUUGCUUGAGCCCAGUAGUUCAAGACCAGCCUGGGCAACAUGGAGAAACCCUGUCUCAAUACAAAAAAAUGAGCCAUGUGUGGUGGUGCGUGCCUGUAGUCCCAGCCAUUCUGGAGGCUGAGGUGGGAGGAUGACUUGAGCCUAGGCAGUCAAGGCUGCAGUGAGCCCUGAUCUUGCCACUGCACUCCAGUCUGGGCAACAGAGCAAGACCCUGUGUCAAUAUACAUAUGGACAAACUUAAAAUUUAAAAUGAAAGCAUACUACUGAUACAGAAUUGAGUAGAGAUGCAAAGCUAGUCCUAUAACCAGAACAAUAAAGAUAAAAAGGAGAGUGGAAGAAGGUAUGUCAUGAAUUUCAUGAUAAAUGGCAAUUGCAAAUAUCCUGUAGCAGAACAAAACAACAAAACUGUAGAUAAAACAUAUCCAACCCUUUGGAAGGCCAAGGAGGGAGGAUUGUUUGAGCCCAGAAGUUGGAGACCAGCCUGGGCAACAUAGUGAGACCCUGUAUCUAAAAAGGAAGAAAGAAAAAAAAAAAAAGGAUGAUAAAGUAGACAAUAUUGAAAGCCAUUUUCUGCAAAUACAUAGUGAAUUUGAUCAGUAAUUUUCUUCCAACAGUGCAAAAAUGAAUAGAUAUUAGUUGCCUGAAAUAAAAAUCAAAUAUCCAACAAAAAAUAUUGACUAUCUAAUAGUAUCUAAGCUAGUAAAUUUGGCCAGUUAUAAAAUGUCUUAAAUUUUUAUUUAAAAAAAGAAAACCAUAUUUAUAAGAAGAGGUGAUAAAGAGAAAUUAUUUCAGUUAUGAAGAUUUUGUUAGAAAACUAUGAGAAAAAAACUAUUUUUUGUUUUCAAAAAGUGAAAGAUUAAGUUACCAAACAGUUGCUAAAGAAUACCAGAUGGCUGAGCGUGGUGACUUAUGCCUGUAAUCCCAGUACUUUGGAAGGCCAAGGCAGGAGGAUCAUUUUAGGCCUGGAGUUCGAGACCAGCCUGGGCACUGUAGCAAGACCCGUCUCUAUUAAAAAAAAAAAAAAAAAAAAAAAAGAAUACAAGACCUUGCUAACAAUAGCAAAGAUCAAUUAAUUCAAAAUUUGAAAAACUGUAAUUUAUUUAGCUUUAGAGUACUCUCGUGAUAUGAGAUUGCCAAAUUAAUACUUUGGGUGCAUUUCUUUUCUCAAAGGACUUGCAAAUUUACAAAGAAGUGUUGAAGAAAAGCCACACAUUGGCAGGUAAUGUUUGCAAAAGACAGAUCUGAUGAAGAACAAUAUUUUUAGAAUAUACAAAGAAUACUUAAAACUCAACAGUAAGAAAAUAACCUGAUUUAAAGCAGGCCAAUGACCUGAACAUCUGUUCACCAAAGAAGAUACACAGAUGCAAGUAUGCAUAUGAAAAGAUGCUUGACAUCAUGUCAUUAGGGAACUGCAAAUUAAAACAAGUAGAUACCACUGCAUACCUAGUAGAAUGACCAAAAUUUAGAACACUGUCAGCACCAAAGGUUGCAAAGAUAUGUAGCAAUAGUAACUUGUUCAUUACUGGUGAGAAUGCAAAAUGUGCAAUCACUUUGGAAGACAGUUUGGUGGUUUCUUACAAAAGUAACCAUACUUUUACCAUAAGAUUCACCAAUCACACUCCUUAGUAUUUAUCCAAAGGAAUUGAAAACUUAUCUCCACACAAAAACCUGCACAUAGAUGUUUAUAGCAGCUUUAUUCAUAAUUUAUCCAAAACUUGGAAACAAGAUGUCUUUCAGUAGGUAAGUGGAUAACUGUGGUACUUCUGAAUAAUGGAAUGUUAUUUAGAGUUAAAAAGAAAUGCAUUCACUUUGGGAGGCCGAAGUGGGUGGAUUGCUUGAGGCCAGGAGUUUGAGACCAGCCUGGUCAACAUGGGAAAACCCCAAUUAGCCGGGCAUAGUGGCGUGAGCCUGUAAUCCCAGCUACUCGGGAGGCUGAGAUAUGAGAAUCGUUUGAACCUGGGAGAUGGAGGUUGCAGUGAGCCAGUGCCACUGCACUUCAGCCUGGGCAACAGAGCAAGACUCCUCUGUCUCAAAAAAAAAAAAAAAAAGAAAGAAAAGAAAAAAGAAAAAGAAAAAGAAAAGAAACGAUCAAGCCAUGAAAACACAUGAAGGAAACUUAAAUGUAUGUUACUAAAAAGCCAACCUGAAAAGACUGCAUACUAUAUGACUCCAACUGAUGCAGGGCAAGCAAGCCAAAAAUUAGGGCUUAGCCCGGGAAGAAUUCAAGGGUGAAGUGGUGGUGUUAGCAACUUUUACUGAAGCAGCAGUGUACAACAGCAGAACAGGUACUGCUCCUUGCUGAGCAGGGCUAACCCAUAAGUAAUGUGCCCAGAGUAGCAGCUCAGGGGCAGUUCUGCAGUAAUAUACCUGCUUUUAGUUAAGUGCAUGUUAAGGGGGAUUAUGCAGAAAUUUCUAGAAAAAGAGUGGUAACUUCGGAGUAGGUACAGAGGAAAGAAGUCGAUAAUGUCCUGUUGUUGCCAUGGCAACGAAAAACUGACAUGGCGCUGGUGGGCGUGUCUUAUGGAGAGGUGCUUUAACCUCGUCCCUGUUUCGGCUAGUCUUCAAUCUGGUCCGGAGUAAAGUCCCUGCCUCCGGAGUUCACUCCUGCUUCCUGCUUCACAACUGUAUGACACUCUAGAAAAGACAGUAACUAUGGACACAGUCAAAAGAUUAGUUGAUAGAAAUUGGGUGACAGGAAGUGUUGAAAAGGCAGAACACAGGAUUUUUAGGGCAGUGAAACUUCUGUGAUACUAUAAUGGUGAAUACAUGACAUUAUACAUUUGUCAAAACCCAUAGAAAGCACAACACCAAGAAUAAACCCUAAUGUAAAUUACAGACUUUCGUUGAUAAUGACGUGUCAAUGUAAGUUCAAUUGUAAUAAAUGUACUACUGUGGUGCUGGAUGUCUAUGGUGGGGGGACAUUUUUGCUUCAAUAGUUACAGUUGAAGUAAAUGUUUGUGUUUCCCACAAUGCAUAUGUAGAAACUCUCACAUUCAAUGUGAUGGUCUUUGGAGGUGGGCUCUUUGGGUGAUAGUUAGGUUUAGUUGAGAUCCUAGCAGAUCGAGUCUUCAUGAUGGGCAUGAUGGGACUGGUCCCUUAUAAGAAAAGACCAGAAAGCUAGCUCUCUCUUUGCCAUGUGAAGACAUAGCAGGAAGGUAGCCAUCUGCAAGCUAGGAAAGGGCCUUCACAAAGAAUCAACUCAGACCUCAGAACAGUGAGAGAUAAAUUGUCGUUGUUUAAGUCACUCAGGCUGUGGUAUUUUGUUUCAGCAGCCCAACCUAAGACUGUUAAUUGGAUUAGAAAUUUCCUUUUGGGGAUGGUGUGUGUAUGAUGGCUGGAACUUUAGUGGCUCUCUUGGAUCCCAGGGGUAAUUGAGGGGUGGCUGGAAGGAAUCUGUGAUUUUCUGGAGUUUCCAUACACAAACAAGACCUGGAUUUUCUGGGCUUCCCAGACUUCCACAUCUAGACUUGCUUUAAAUGGGAGAGAAAUAAACUUGUUUCAGCCACUGUCAUUUUGGGCUAUUUUAUAGAACUUAAUCUAAUCUUCAAGGGUACAUGAAUUGCUUUUCCUUAAAAAAAAAAUCAGCCAUAAAAUCAUCUUCUUUUUUCUUUUGUUCCCCACAUUAUUUAGUUGGAGCUCUGUAACUUUUUUUUUUUUUUUUUUUGAGACAAGGUCUUGCUCUGUCACUUAGGCUGGAAUUCAGUGGCAUGACCAUGGCUCACUGCAGCCUUGCCCUCCUAGGCUCAAGCAAUCCUCGUCUCAGCCUCCUGAGUAGCUGAAACUAAGGCACAUGCCACCAUGCCCAGCUAAUUUCUUUUCUUUUAGAGAUGGGAGCCUUGCCCAGGCUAGUCUCAAACUCCUAGCCUCAAGUGAUCCUCCCAUCUCAGCCUCCCAAAGUGACAGGAUUACAGGUGUGAGCCACCAUGCCUGGCUGCUCUGUAAGUGUCUGAAUUUCAUUUUGUAUUUAUCAGUCUGUUUAGAUUUUCUUUCCCUUCUUGGGUCAGUUAGGCCAUUGGUUUCUUUUUAAAGGUUUUCAAAUUUAUUUGCAUCUAAUUCUUCAAAUUACUCUCAAAAUUAUUCCAGUAUAUAUUCUUUUGUUCCUAUUUUCUUCUGUAUUCUUUAUUAAAAUAGCUAAUGAUUUAUCUAGCAGGACUUAUAUUCUUUCCAUAACUUUCCUGCACCCCAAUUAAUCUCCAAUUUUAUAUUUCUUCUGGCCUUCCUUAUAGUUUCCACAGGUUUAUUUUAUUCAUUUUUUAAAACUUUUAUUUAAUUGUUUAUUUUAUUAUCAUUCUUUCUUAUUCAGCAAUCUAAGUGCUUAGGGAUAUAGAAUUUCCUCUAAGCAGCAUAUGCUAGGCUUUAACAAUGUUAGGGAGGCCUCCCCUUUCUGGGGAAGACCACACUUACAUUAACACAGGACUGUGGGAUGCCAAGAGGUAGAGAAGAGCUUAUGAAUAUCCAGAUUACAUCUUCACUGAUCCUGCACAAAGGUGGGGUUCCUCGGUUACCCACUGGGUCCUAUUACCCAAGUCUGGGUCAGCAUACCGAGACUACGGGUAUAUAGAACAAGUGCAACUGGCGAUAAUCCUUCUGUUGGGGAGAAAAAUCUUUUUUUUCUAUUCAUCUUAGGUUCUCCAUCUGUGGCCCUAUCAAGUAGACUAACAAAAGACAGAUUGACAAGACAGAAACAAAGCAUGUGCAUUGUACAAACACAGGGGAGUACUGAGAUGAAUACUCAAAAGAGGAUUUAGAACUUGGGCUUAUAUAGCAUUUUAAGAAAAGAAUACAUUUUUUAAGUGACAAGGAAGACGAAAAGGACUUUGAGUUUCUAGUGCAGUAAAUUGUGGGAAGGCAACUUUUUCUUUCCCUUUUUUUUUUUUUUUUUUUAAAAAAAAAGACUUCUCUGGUGCUAUGUCCAGGCUGAUAAGAGUCUAAAGUCUCUGGUGACUAACUUUUGUUCUUCCCCGAGUAAGAAGACACCUUCACAAUUUCAUAUCCUGCUUUUAGGCAAAUAGGGAGAGGGCAGAGGUGUUUGUUUGUUUUUAAUCUAUUUUUUUUCUCAAUUGUCUUCAACUCAAAAUACUUCUUAUGCCAAAGAUGGCAUAUUCUGCUACCCUUCACUUACUACUUACAACCCAGCCUCUAUCAUCAUAAUUAGAACUUCUGACCCUGGGGAACAUGGGCAAUAGUUUGAACUCUUUUAUAUCUCCCUUAGGCAGAGAUGGAGGCACAGCAUGAUCUUGGCUUACUGCAGCUGCUGCAGGCUCAAGCAAUUCUCC
rnacentral:lncRNA from 1 species